rnacentral:lncRNA from 1 species
AUGUUUAUAAUAAAAAUAAAAAAAAGAAAUCAGAUAGACAAUAAUGAAAGAUGUAAAUAUAUAUUUAAUAAUUUGAUGAAAAUUUUUAAUUAUUUAACAUUUGUUUUAGUUCUAUCAUGUUUAUAUUUACUUUAUUUUUAUAAAAAUAUAUGUACAACAAAUACGUUAUCUUUAAAAAUUAUAAAAAUAUAUUAUUAUUUUGCAUUAACUAUUUAUUUUAUUCCUUUAAUAUUUUAUAUUUUUCUUGGUUUAUUCUUAUCAAUUAUUAUUUGUAUUAUGGUUAAUUUUUCUGUUGAUGAAAAUGAUCGAAUACCAACUCCACAAAAUAUUAUAAGUAAAUUAAAAGUUAUGAAAUAUGAAGAUAUUGAUUAUAUUUAUAAUAUUAAUAACAAUAAUAAUAAUAAAAAAAGUAGAAAUAAAUCAUAUAUUAAAAAACCUUCUUUUGAAAUGAUCAUAGACAAAGUAAAAAAUGUUAUACGAGAUAAAAGUAAUAAAGAAACAUUAACAAAAUCAAAUUCUAAUGUAUUAAUUAAUGUGAAUAGUUUAAGUAGUUCAGAUGAAAACUUGCAAGAAAUGCUAAAACCACUUAAUUCAGAUAUGCAUGACGAAAAAAAUGGUCAGACUUCUGAUGGUAUUACAAUAGAUAACCAUGGACACAUGGACAAUUACACGAAUGACCUUGCCUAUGGACAUAACGAUAGUACUGAAUAUUAUAACACAAAUAAUAACAAUAAUAAUAAUAAAAAUAAUAGUACUGAUAAAAAUAAUAAUACUAAUGAAAGUAUGAGUAAGACACCAAAAAAAAAUAUAACAAACAAUAACUAUAAUGAAUUAUCUAAUGAAAUUGAAGAUGUGUGUUCAAUAUGUAUGUUAAAUUAUAUAAGUAGUGAUGAUAUUAUGAUUUUACCAUGUGAUAAAAGACAUUUUUUUCAUGUAAAUUGUCUUACUAAAUGGUUAUAUAAAAGCCAGGUAUGUCCUAUUUGUAGGACAAACAUUGUUAAUUGUGUAAAUGUAAAAAAUGAUGUUGUUUGA